CAGGGGCCUAACAAGAAAAUUUCAUAGAAUGCAUGAUGACUUCAUGUAACAUGGUUAUGGAGAAUAUAAUUUAACCUUGAGAUUUGUUUUCGACACGUGGUCCAGUUAACGGCUGAUAAUCGCAUGACUGGACCAAGAUAUACAACACAAUCUUGUAAUUCCUAUUUCCCCAUUUGUGUCAACUCAUUCUUCCCGAUACUGUGACUAGAUAAUUUAUACUGCAACUUUUUCCUAUUUCUGUAAACGCUGAUGCAAGUUUCGUUGUUAACCCAUUAACUGCCAAAUUUUUUUUUUUGAAAUUUUUGGCCGGAUAAGUUAUAUAUAUGCAUAUUUUUGGCGCCGAGUAGUGUACGUAGAAUUCCAAAAUCCCCAAAUGGGGAUCGUGGCAGCUAAUGGGUUAACUGUAACUCUAACCUAUAAAUGGGUGUAACAGAAAAAACUUUUCAAUAACAAUGUACUCUACUAAAGAAUGUGGACAAUUACUACUACUGAUUAAUGCAUUAAUAUAAAAGCAAAAAUCAGUGGUGUGAUUUCUAUAGAACAGUAGCAGUCACGAGUGAUCAUAAAUGAGUGUCAUCGACCUACACGACUUACAUUUCAUUUGAAAAAUAACAAAUAAAAAAUCAUACCCUCGUCAUUUUAUUUCAAUACCUAAAUAAAGUACGCAUGCGAACGCUAUGGAGAUAAGCGUACGAGUAAUUUUAUGAGAGAAUUAUCAAGUUUUAUUAUAUGGGCAAUUGUACAAUAAUUAUGUAAUAAUACAAAUGUUGUAUAGGAUGUCUAACCAUAAAAUGGUAAAAGCUGGUAAUUACGAUUUUUAUUGGGGAGGGGAAGGGGGAGGAGGAAGAAGAUUUUAAAAUACUAGAAUUUGGGAUUUUAGAUUUUCAGAAGGUUAAAAUGACAAGGAGGUCGGUCUACAUACAGGGGCAGGGGGCCCCUGAACCCUGCCUAGUCACGCCAAUGAUUACUCCAGUAUUUAUCAAAGAGCCUAAUUUUAAAAUGAAAAUAUUAUCAUGAACAAUAUUUCACUUUUUCAUAAUAUUGAUGCAACAUUAAUCUCUUGUUUCGAAAUUCCGUAACGUAUGCCCGAAGAUUGAUAUGCUUUCUUGAUAAAAUGUAGGUAUCAUAGUUAAAUUUUCUAAAGAUAGAAUAUUUAUCUUCCAAACUAAUAGGCAUGACGUUAUAUUCUAUCUGACAAUGUAUGUACAUAAUUAAAGAAUAUGUAUAUUUUCAAGGAAAUUAGUCUCCUAGGAGACUAACAGCUGUGCAAUUGUAAAAAAUUCCACAGAUAUGGAAUUUUAAAAAAUUCCACAGUUCUGGAAUUUUUAAAAAUUCCACAGUUCUGGAAUUGUAGAAAAAUUCCACAGUUGUGGAAUUGUAAAAAGAAAACAGAUUGUGCGAAAAAUCACGUUAUGAAUGGUGCUAUACUUUAUCUGUUGAUAUGUGCCAUACAAGAAGAAUUUCGUAUGUAGGACAUAACCUUAAAACAUUUGUUAACCAGAACUUAAACCAAAAUUCAGAAAUGUUGUAAAUGAUGUAAAACGAUACUAGAAAAUGUAAAAACGUAUAUAGAAAUGGUAACAGUAGAAGUUUAUAAGUUGCAAAAAAAAAGAAAACAUGAAAAUCAUUCAAUUGCAAAACUAGAGCUUACUCACAGAUCACAUGUAUCUCAUGUUCUGCUGUGUCAGUGACAUUGUAUCAGACUGUUCUAUAGUUACGCGUUCGCACACCCUGCAAAGAUUACACAAGAUCGUGUUCUUUUCUUCUUUCUUCGUCUCCUAUUUUGUAGAAACUGAUAAUUUCUCUGCCAAAAAAAAACGAGAGAAACGUCCAAGGAAAGUUGCAUCAUGUUGAACAGCAUCUAUAUACGUCAUUGUUACCAUAUGAUAUUAUCAGAAAACGUAAAUAUAUAAUAUCAUCGAAAUGACAUACUUAAGUCUUUCAAUGGAAAACGCAUGCUUCAACAGCAAUGACACACAUUUCUCCCUAAAUAAGAAAAUAUUAUUCCUAAAAUAUUCCUAUAAUAUUAUUAGUGAAGUUUUGAUGUAUUACACAAAAUGGAAAUCUAUGUUACAUAUUUUCAAAAUCUACGUCAUUACUGUGAGAUGAUAGUAUCAGAAACCGAUUUGCUUUGCAACAGAAAUAAAUUUGUAUUGAAAUGCAACGACAAGAAGAAUUUGAAUAAAUAUUUUCAUCUUUUCACCUAUAA